rnacentral:lncRNA from 1 species
CAGAAAUCUAUCUUGUCAGCUAUAUUACAUGGUUCAAAUUAAUUAAUGCCAGGUGUGAUAGUGCAUGCCUGUAAUGCCACGGACUCAGUGGGGCAGAGGCAGGAGGAUCACAAGUUCAAGCCAGCUUUGACAACUUAGUAAGACCCUGUCUCAAAAUAAAAAUAUAAAAGUGACUGGGAAUGUAGCUCAGUGGUAGAGAGUCCCUGGUCUUAAAACCCAGUACUGAAAAAAAUUUAUUUGAAAUCAAUUUCCCCAACCCAAAGUGAUCAUUGGCAACUGCCUGAUUAAUUUAGACUUUUAAAUCCUAAGCAAGCCUUUAUUGUCCAAAUAAAUCAGACUAGGAUUGGGUCAUCCUUUAAAUAACCAAGAAGACAGUGUUGGAAUGUUUUGUUGUUGCUCUUUGGGGGGUUGGUUGUUUGUUGUUUGGGUUUUCUUUUUUUAUGGGCAAAUAUCCUUUCUAACUCAUAAUUCCCUUGAAAACCAACCAUUCUACAUCUCAAACCCAAGGCAGGAUGGUGAACAAGAAAUACCACAGUUGCAAAGGAAGGUGAGUGGUGAGGCCUGUGGUUUCCAACCGUUAGCACUAGGGUUAUCCGUUUCUGCUAUCAGGGUUUCAGCUAUGCAAGAAAACAGAACAGUGAAGGUUUUCUCAUGCAGGUUGAAAGCCAGUUCCAGGAAAGCCCUUUGAAAAAAAUCCCAAUCCCCCCUUUUGUCUAGAGCUAAAGCCAAAAAAGGAUGAGUUUCCAGCCCUGAGUGACUGGAACAGAAUACAGUCUUUUGGCUGAGCUUCUUGACAGAGAAAAAAAAUGGAGAAUUUUGAUAGCAGUAAUGAGGGGGUUUCCUCUGAACAGCUUAUUCCCUAGAAAAGCCCUGAACAGCCAAGUUUAUCUACUAAAUGAUGCUCAGCAGGAACUUCCUGACCAGCAAUCACUCCUUCUCAACCAGUUGCAAUCAGGAGAUCUCUUCUAGCUUCACAAUCAUGAGCCACACAGCAGAAGCUCAAAUCCAGAU